rnacentral:rRNA from 1 species
UAGGGAAUCUUCGGCAAUGGACGAAAGUCUGACCGAGCAACGCCGCGUGAGUGAAGAAGGUUUUCGGAUCGUAAAACUCUGUUGUUAGAGAAGAACAAGGACGUUAGUAACUGAACGUCCCCUGACGGUAUCUAACCAGAAAGCCACGGCUAACUACGUGCCAGCAGCCGCGGUAAUACGUAGGUGGCAAGCGUUGUCCGGAUUUAUUGGGCGUAAAGCGAGCGCAGGCGGUUUCUUAAGUCUGAUGUGAAAGCCCCCGGCUCAACCGGGGAGGGUCAUUGGAAACUGGGAGACUUGAGUGCAGAAGAGGAUAGUGGAAUUCCAUGUGUAGCGGUGAAAUGCGUAGAUAUAUGGAGGAACACCAGUGGCGAAGGCGGCUCUCUGGUCUGUAACUGACGCUGAGGCUCGAAAGCGUGGGGAGCAAACAGG